GGUGGGGUUCCCGAGCGGCCAAAGGGAGCAGACUGUAAAUCUGCCGUCAUCGACUUCGAAGGUUCGAAUCCUUCCCCCCCCACCA
rnacentral:tRNA from 3 species